AUGCUCUCCGGCGACCAGGGCCUCCCCGACGGCAUCGGGAUGGCGCGCCUGGCCUGGUCGCGCCUCCCCACCGCCGACGGCGCCGCGCCGUUGCCGGAGGGCCCCGCCGCCUCCGCCCCCGCGGCCGCGGCCCAGGACGAGCUCUUCGUCGGCGCCGUCGAGAGCCUCGACUACGAGGUCAUCGAGAACUACGCCUACCGGGAGGAGCAGGCCCAGCGGAGCAAGUUCUGGGUGCCCUACUACAUCAUGCUCAAGUGGUUCUUCGCCCUGCUCAUCGGCGUGGGUACCGGAUUGGCUGCUAUAUUCAUAAAUUUGGCCGUUGAGAACUUCUCUGGAUGGAAAUUUACUUUGGCUUUUGCUAUAAUACAACACUCAUAUUUUGUGGGGUUCUUGGUGUACAUUCUUCUCAAUCUAGCCCUCGUCUUCUCUUCUGUAUACAUAGUCACACAAUUUGCACCAGCAGCUGCUGGAUCUGGUAUCCCGGAGAUCAAAGGUUACUUAAAUGGAGUUGAUACACAUGGAAUCCUACUUUUUAGGACAUUAGUUGGGAAGAUUUUUGGGAGCAUCGGAUCAGUUGGAGGUGGAUUGGCUCUAGGAAAAGAAGGUCCUCUUGUUCACACUGGAGCCUGCAUUGCUUCUCUUCUUGGGCAAGGUGGAUCCGCGAAGUACCACUUGAAUUCUAGAUGGGUACAGAUUUUUGAAAGCGAUCGAGAUCGGCGAGAUCUUGUGACAUGUGGAUGUGCAGCUGGAGUUGCUGCCGCCUUCAGAGCUCCGGUUGGUGGGGUACUAUUUGCUCUGGAGGAAGUUACAUCCUGGUGGAGAAGCCAUCUUAUGUGGAGAGUAUUCUUUACAUCUGCUGUCGUGGCUGUUGUGGUGCGAUCAGCAAUGAAUUGGUGUAACAGCGGAAAAUGUGGUCAUUUUGGGGCUGGCGGUUUCAUAAUCUGGGACAUAUCUGGAGGUCAAGAAGAUUACUCUUACCAGGAACUUCUGCCGGUGGCAAUUAUUGGUGUUAUUGGUGGACUUCUUGGAGCGCUAUUUAAUCAACUCACCCUGUAUAUAACUAAAUGGCGGCGAACAUAUCUUCAUAAGAAAGGGAAACGAGUCCAGAUCUUUGAAGCUUGCCUCAUAUCUUUGAUAACAUCCACUGUUUCCUUUGUGUUGCCACUACUGAGGAAAUGCAGCCCAUGUCCUGAAUUAGAAACCAGUUCUGGUAUCCAGUGCCCUCAUCCACCUGGAACAGAUGGGAAUUUCGUUAAUUUUUACUGCUCAAAAGAUAAUGAAUACAAUGAUCUGGCAACCAUUUUCUUCAAUUCUCAGGAUGAUGCAAUACGCAAUCUGUUCAGUGCAAAAACAUUCCAUGAGUACAGCGCACAAAGCCUUAUCACCUUCCUGGUCAUGUUUUACUCCUUAGCUGUUGUAACAUUUGGAACUGCUGUUCCAGCUGGUCAAUUUGUCCCAGGAAUAAUGAUUGGAUCUACGUAUGGCCGGCUUGUUGGAAUGUCUGUUGUUAAGUUCUAUAAGAAACUAAAUGUUGACGAGGGCACGUAUGCUCUACUUGGUGCUGCUUCGUUUCUUGGUGGUUCGAUGAGAAUGACUGUGUCUUUAUGUGUUAUUAUGGUUGAGAUUACAAACAACUUGCAACUCUUGCCAUUAAUUAUGCUUGUUCUUCUGAUCUCUAAGGCUGUUGGUGAUUUUUUUAACGAGGGGCUAUAUGAAGAGCAGGCCAGAUUAAAGGGCAUCCCUUUACUUGACUCUAGGCCUAAACAAGUGAUGAGAAACAUGAAUGCGAAGGAUGCCUGCAAGAAUCAAAAGGUUGUGUGCCUUCCUCGUGUUUCAAGAGUUGUUGAUAUUGUUUCUGUUCUGCAAAGCAACAAGCACAAUGGCUUCCCUAUUGUUGAACGUGGGCAGAAUGGCGAGUCACUUGUCAUAGGUCUCAUACUUCGGAGUCACUUGUUGGUGCUUUUGCAAUCUAAAGUAGAUUUCCAGAAUACUCCUUUCCCUUGUGGGCCAGGCAUACUGAACAGGCACAAUUUUAGUGACUUUGUUAAGCCAGCUUCAAGUAAGGGAAAGUCGAUUGAUGACAUUCAUUUGACGGAUGAUGAACUUGGGUUGUAUUUAGAUCUCGCUCCAUUUCUAAAUCCGUCUCCUUACAUAGUGCCAGAGGACAUGUCUUUGGCAAAGGUAUACAAUCUCUUCCGCCAACUAGGAUUGAGACAUAUAUUCGUCGUUCCUCGGCCUUCUCGGGUCGUAGGUCUGAUAACAAGAAAAGAUCUCUUACUCGAGGAGGAUGGCAAUACCGCGACAACAGAGCUCCAGUCGACCAGUGUAAGAGCCUACCUGAACGGUAAAACGGCAGGGGGGAGCGCGCACCUGGAGCGCCCUCUUCUUGACAGCUUGAUGAUCGGAGGAGUAAAUACAUAG
rnacentral:rRNA from 1 species